rnacentral:rRNA from 1 species
UGACUUGGCGUGGCUCACGAAGGCGCCUGACCUUGUCCGAUCUCGUAAGCCAAGCAAGUUUGGGCCUGGCUGGUACUUGGAUGGGAAACAGCCUGGGAAUAUCAGGGUCGCUGGCUUCA